UACGGAGGGCGCAAGCGUUAAUCGGAAUCACUGGGCGUAAAGCGCGCGUAGGCUGUUUGAUAAGUCAGACGUGAAAUCCUUCAGCUCAACUGGAGAACUGCGUUUGAUACUGUUAGACUUGAGUCCCGGAGAGGGUGGCGGAAUUCCAGGUGUAGGAGUGAAAUCCGUAGAUAUCUGGAGGAACACCGGUGGCGAAGGCGGCCACCUGGACGGGUACUGACGCUGAGGCGCGAAAGCGUGGGGAGCAAACAGGAUUAGAUACCCUGGUAGUCCACGCGGUAAACGAUGGAUGCUAGGUGUCGGGGAGCGAUCUUCGGCGCCGCAGCUAACGCAUUAAGCAUCCCGCCUGGGGAGUACGGUCGCAAGGCUGAA
rnacentral:rRNA from 1 species